rnacentral:lncRNA from 1 species
GAAAAAUAAUAAGAUUUGUUAUUCACCAAGAUUAUUCCUUUAUCUCCACCUGUACCAACCUUUUUCUUUGAGUCAUUCCAUGAUGCAAUAAGCUAGGUACGAACAUGAACAGUAAAAAUAUUUGGUAAAAAUAAGUUAAAUUCAACAAUAGUGAUAUGAACAAUAAAGUUAGAAAUAAGGGGUAGAAGACUUCAACGAUUCAAUAAACAGAAUCAAAUUAAGCAAAAAAAAUCAUUCAAGAUAUUUCUGAUAUAUUUAUGGAUAGCCAUCAUGUAUAACAAAUAACCAAUUUUAUGUUAGACAAAUACAUACAUGAUUAACAUGAUAUGUCCGACAUAAAUGUCUAAAGAAAUUUGAACUUGAUUAAUUUAUCCUAAGUUGAUUUCUAAAUAAUCUAUUGGAACAUGUAACUAAAGCUGCAUAGGCUAAUCUUGCAAUCCUAUUCAUGAUUUCAAUGUUACAU